rnacentral:rRNA from 1 species
UGGGCGAAAGCCUGAUCCAGCCAUGCCGCGUGUGUGAAGAAGGUCUUCGGAUUGUAAAGCACUUUAAGUUGGGAGGAAGGGUUGUUUCCUAAUACGAAGCAAUUUUGACGUUACCGACAGAAUAAGC